rfam:Heligmosomoides polygyrus genome assembly, scaffold: HPBE_scaffold0004417
GCGCCGAUAGUGUAAUGGCGUAGAGCAUUCCCGCUCGCUCAGCAGGAGGUGCGGGUUUGAGUCCCGCCUGGCGCU